GCAGAGCAGAGCCAUGGAUGGCUGCCUAGCCUCCGGCCUGAUUCGGCGCCUCCACGACCUCCCAAUCCAAACCCUCGCGCCCAAGCCUCCCCCACCGCCUCCUCAACCUUCCCCGCUACUUACCAGAGCUCCUUCCUAGUCGAAUCCACCGAAAUCAGUUGCCCUGCCGCCGGCCGCCAAUGGAGCACCAUCGAGCUCCGCCCCUUCACGUCGAUCCGCGCCUCCGGCCCUUCUCCGCCCAAAUCAACCCCCAAAAUGAGUUCGUGAACUCGUAGCUGAAGACGCCGUCUACAGAGUGGUCGUGAAGCCCAGGAGCUAGCGAAGUAGGUGCAAGAAGAAAUUCAUGAAGACCCGGCCCAAAGCCGCAAAUAAUACUAACCCCGCUCAGCAAAAAGGCAAGCCCCGCAGCAUAACCCUUAAUUUUGGUAUUCAAUGUUUAUUAUAUAAUUAUUAUGCAUUUCCGUUUC